rnacentral:rRNA from 1 species
UACGAAGGGGGCUAGCGUUGCUCGGAAUUACUGGGCGUAAAGCGCACGUAGGCGGCUUCUAAGUCAGGGGUGAAAUCCUGGAGCUCAACUCCAGAACUGCCUUUGAUACUGAGGAUCUUGAGUUCGGGAGAGGUGAGUGGAACUGCGAGUGUAGAGGUGAAAUUCGUAGAUAUUCGCAAGAACACCAGUGGCGGAAGGCGGCUCACUGGCCCGAUACUGACGCUGAGGCAC